rnacentral:rRNA from 1 species
UAGGGAAUAUUGGUCAAUGGGGGCAACCCUGAACCAGCGACGCCGCGUGAAGGGUGACAGGGCUUUGCCCCGUAAACUUCUGUCGGGAGGGAAAAAAGGACUGUUUGGCGGUCUGGGAUUGUACCUCUAAAGGAAGCACCGGCUAACUACGUGCCAGCAGCCGCGGUAAUACGUAGGGUGCAAACGUUGUCCGGAAUUACUGGGUGUAAAGGGUGCACAGGCGGUUUUGUGCGUCAGAGGUAAAAUCCCACAGCUCAACUGUGGACCUGCCUUUGAUACGGCGAGACUUGAGUACAAGAGAGGAUGAUAGAAUUCCUGGUGUAGCGGUGAAAUGCGUAGAUAUCAGGAGGAAUACCAGUGGCGAAGGCGGUCAUCUGGCUUGUAACUGACGCUUAAGCACGAAAGCAUGGGUAGCAAACA